ACUCAAGAGUAUACGGAGGAUGGCUUGACAAAACAUGCUGAUGAAGGACGUAGUAAUCUGCGAUAAGCUUCGGUGAGGUGAUAAACAACCUUUGACCCGAAGAUCUCCGAAUGGGGAAACCCGAUUGGGGGAAUGCCCAAUCACUGUGCACUGAAUACAUAGGUGUACGGAAGGCACCCAGGGAAGUGAAACAUCUCAGUACCUGGAGGAAAAGAAAAGAAGGAUCAACUAUCUCAGCUAUUAGCUUUUAGCUUAUAGCUUUUAGGGCGACCUAUAAGCUAGUAGCUAUCAGCUAUAAGCUGAGACAAUAGUUGUUCUCAUUCCCAGAGUAGUGGCGAGCGAAAUGGGAACAGCCCAAACCUAUUAAGUGAAGUCCGCUGAAAUUUCUCUUCAGAGAGGUGUAGGCGAAACGAAAGAUAUCAGUCGUUGCUUAGUAGGUGUUGUAAGCACAUAUGUCCAUGUCUGAUAGCAUGGGAAGUGAUAUUCGUCUUUUAGUGAAAUCUACUGGGAAGUAGAACCAUAGAAGGUGAUAGUCCUGUACGCGAAAAAAGUUCGAGUACGCUUGAUAUGUUUGCUUGAGUACGGCGGAACACGUGAAAUUCUGUCGGAAUCUGCCGCGACUAUGCGGUAAGGCUAAAUACAUGUUUUGAUCGAUAGUGAAGAGUACCGUGAGGGAAAGCUUAAAAGAACCCCGAGAGGGGAGUGAAAUAGCAUCUGAAACCGUAUACUUACAAGGAGUCGGAGCCCCGCACCUUUCCUAAGAUGGAUUGGUCGGAUAAAGAAAAGUGGAGUCGCUAGACGACUUCGCCUUUCGACGUGUCGGUCUCAACAUAUUAUGUUGGGAAAGGUGCGGGGUGACGGCGUUCCUAUUGAAGAAUGAGCCAACGAGUCUGUGUGUGUUGCAGGUUAAGUCCUAAGGGACGGAGCCAGAGUGAAAGCGAGCCUUAACGGGCGUUAGUAGCAUACAUAGGACCCGAAACCGGGUGACCUAACCAUGGCCAGGGUGAAGCGGGUGUAACAGCCCGUGGAGGCCCGAACCCACGCACCGUGCAAAAUGCGGGGAUGAGCUGUGGUUAGCGGAGAAAUUCCAAUCGAACUCGGUAAUAGCUGGUUCUCCUCGAGAUAUGUUUAGGCAUAGCGUCAGUUAAUAGCGUGUUGGGGGUAGAGCACUGAUUGGGGUUGGCGUCUUCGGAUAGCCACCCUAGCCAAACUCCGAAUACUAACACGUGUUCCUGGCAGUCAGACCAUGGGGGCGAAGCUCCAUUGGUCGAAAGGGAAACAGCCCAGAUCUCAAGCUAAGGUCCCUAAAUCACUACUAAGUGUAAAAGGUGGUGAGGAAACUUAUACAACCAGGAGGUUGGCUUAGAAGCAGCCAUCCUUUAAAGAUAGCGUAACAGCUCACUGGUCAAGUUUCCUUGCGCCGAAAAUAUACCGGGGCUAAGUAGUGUACCGAAGCUGAGGGUGUAAUGAUUCUUCGGAGUCAUUACGCGGUAGAGGAGCGUUUCUAUUGCGAUGAAGUCGUACCGUAAGGUGCGGUGGAGCGAUAGGAAGUGAGAAUGUUGGCAUGAGUAGCAAAAAGACAGGUGAGAAUCCUGUCCGCCGAAAAUCUAAGGUUUCCACAGCAACGAGAAUCGACUGUGGGUUAGUCGGGAGCUAAGGCGAGGCCGAAAGGCGUAGUCGAUGCACAGCAGGCUAAUAUUCCUGCACCACGUUAUUUUUCCGAUGGGGGGACGUUUGUUUUAUCUUCCUGUGUCCUAUGGCUAUGACACUGGGGGCUCGAAGUUGAUGGGUAGGCAAAUCCGCUCGUCAUAAGACUUUGAGUCAUCGCAAUCCCGCUUCGGCGGGAGAGAGGAAGUGAGAACGAACCAAGAAAAUCCUCUAGGGUUAAGGAUAACGUGCCCGUACUAAAACCGACACAGGUAGAUAGGUGUUAAAGCACUAAGGCGUACGAGAGAAACAUUGUUAGGGAACUCGGCAAAACAGCGGCCGUAACUUCGGGAUAAGGCCUGGUUUUCUCCGGGAGGAGAAGACCCACAGCUAAGGAUUGCAAGCGACUGUUUAUCAAAAACAUAGCUCCCUGCUAAAUCGCAAGAUGAUGUAUAGGGGGUGAUGCCUGGCCAGUGUCCGAACGUUAAAGAAGUUGGUUAGUCCUUCGGGGCGAAGCUGACGACUGAAGCGCGGAUGAACGCCGGCCGUAACUAUAACGGUCCUAAGGUAGCGAAAUUCCUUGUCGGGUGAGUUCCGACCUGCACGAAUGGCAUAACGACUUGCAAACUGUCCCAACAAUGUACUCGGCGAAAUUGCGAGGGGAGUGAAGAUGCUCUCUACGCACAGUUGGACGAAAAGACCCCGUGAAGCUUUACUAUAGCUUGCUAUUGGGUUCAUGUUUCACAUGUUCAGUAUAGGUGGGAGCCUUCGGGCGCCAGUGAGAUACCACCCUUGUGUUGUGUGAAUUCUAACCGGAGACCAUGAAUCUGGUUUCUAGAACAGUAGCUGGUAGGUAGUUUGACUGGGGCGGUAGCCUCCUAAAAAGUAACGGAGGCGUUUACAAAGGUUCUCUUAGCCCGGAUGGAAAUCGGGCUGAAUGUGCAAGCGCAUAAGAGAGCUUUACUGCAAGGCUGACACGCCGAGCAGUUGCGAAAGCAGAAGCUAGUGAUCCGACCGUUCGAUAUAGGACGGCGGAAGCUCAUCGGAUAAAAGCUACUCCGGGGAUAACAGGCUAGUCUUGCCCAAGCGUCCACAGCGACGGCAAGGUUCGGCACCUCGAUGUCGGCUCAUCGCAUCCUGGGGGUGAAGAAGCUCCCAAGGGUUAGGCUGUUCGCCUAUUAAAGCGGUACGCGAGCUGGGUUCAGAACGUCGUGAGACAGUUCGGUCUCCUAUCCACUGCGCGCGUUGAAGAUUGAAAGGACUCAUCCCUAGUACGAGAGGACCGGGAUGAACUGACCUCUGGUGUACCAGUUGUCGCGCCCGCGGCAUUGCUGGGUAGCUACGUCGGGUUCGGAUAACCGCUGAAAGCAUCUAAGCGGGAAGUCGACCUUAAGAUUAAUCUUCGUUUGAGACACCUGAGAGACUAUCAGGUUGAUAGGCACUAGGUAUAAGCUUGGUAACAAGUUAAGCCGAGGUGUACUAAUAAGUCGAAGCU
rnacentral:rRNA from 1 species